CAGAGUACACACACCCAGGCCUGGCCUGGCAGCCAGGUCAGGCCAGGCCUGGGGCGUGGAUCUCCAACCCUCUGCAAAGAGAUUUCAUAUAUAUUCCGUUUCCUCGGUGGAUUUACCUCCGCCGACGGACGUCUGAACUCUUACUCAGUAUGUGUCGUCAGUUAUAUUCAAACAAACUUA
rnacentral:misc_RNA from 1 species